AGCAAUGCGAAUAACUAUUGUCAUUUUCUUAUUCAAAUUGGAAACAAUCUUGAUAGUCAUAGCGGACCAGAUGAAGAUGUUCUUAAUAGUCUUGCACAAGGUCCUUGGUCAAGCUAGAAGGCACUGCUUGCAAACCUGGAUUCCAUGUAUGCUGAUAUCUAGGAAAUGUUAAACAAUUUGGGUGACCUAUUAUGUACCAUAGCUGGAUUUGACUUCUCUUGACAGAAUUAAAAGGUCUGAGGACAUCCCUGUGGAAAUAUGGAGAGGAUUGAUUCAACCUAGCGAUUUUAAGAAUGGUCUCCCGAAAUCAACUUAUGAGUUAACUAUUAAAGGAGGAGACAAAGUUAAGCAUACAAAUAAAAGGAAUCGAGGUUACAACUAUAAAUUUGUAACUUUAUGGUUUAUAAUUGAUGAUUCUAGCUAUAUGAUAUUAACUCUACUAUUAUGGAAUGAUUUUAGUAUAUAUACGUAUAAUUUACGCUAUUAGGUGUAUGGUACUCUAUUAUUAUAGUAUGAUGAUUUUAGUGUAGAAGUAUAAUUUUGUAACUUUAUGUUAUUAAUGGAUGAUAUUGGAUUUUUGGAUUAAAUAAAUUUUGGUGUAUGGUACUCGA